rnacentral:rRNA from 1 species
UAGGGAAUCUUCGGCAAUGGGGGGAACCCUGACCGAGCAACGCCGCGUGAGUGAAGAAGGUUUUCGGAUCGUAAAGCUCUGUUGUUAAGGAAGAACGAGUGUGAGAAUGGAAAGUUCAUGCUGUGACGGUACUUAACCAGAAAGGGACGGCUAACUACGUGCCAGCAGCCGCGGUAAUACGUAGGUCCCGAGCGUUGUCCGGAUUUAUUGGGCGUAAAGCGAGCGCAGGCGGUUAGAAAAGUCUGAAGUGAAAGGCAGUGGCUCAACCAUUGUAGGCUUUGGAAACUGUUUAACUUGAGUGCAGAAGGGGAGAGUGGAAUUCCAUGUGUAGCGGUGAAAUGCGUAGAUAUAUGGAGGAACACCAGUUGCGAAGGCGACGCUCUGGUCUGUAACUGACGCUGAGGCUCGAAAGCGUGGGUAGCAAACAGG